GCUUUCAACAUCCCCGCUCUCGCGCUGCAGGUUGGCGGCGAGGGCUGAAGGC
rnacentral:sRNA from 1 species